UCCGGCAGCCAUAUCACCCUGCAACUCACAACUGGCAACCCAUUGAGGCUACGUGAGAGCCUGGUCAGUACCAGGCUGGGAGUCCUCCUGGGAAAAACGAAGGUUGCUGCUGGAA
rnacentral:rRNA from 1 species